AGUGAACGCUGGCGGUAGGCCUAACACAUGCAAGUCGAACGGCAGCACAGUAAAAGCUUGCUCUUACGGGUGGCGAGUGGCGGACGGGUGAGGAAUACAUCGGAAUCUACUUUUUCGUGGGGGAUAACGUAGGGAAACUUACGCUAAUACCGCAUACGACCUACGGGUGAAAGCAGGGGAUCUUCGGACCUUGCGCGAUUGAAUGAGCCGAUGUCGGAUUAGCUAGUUGGCGGGGUAAAGGCCCACCAAGGCGACGAUCCGUAGCUGGUCUGAGAGGAUGAUCAGCCACAUUGGAACUGAGACACGGUCCAGACUCCUACGGGAGGCAGCAGUGGGGAAUAUUGGACAAAGGGCGCAAGCCUGAUCCAGCCAUACCGCGUGGGUGAAGAAGGCCUUCGGGUUGUAAAGCCCUUUUGUUGGGAAAGAAAAGCAGCAGGUUAAUACCCCGCUGUUCUGACGGUACCCAAAGAAUAAGCACCGGCUAACUUCGUG
rnacentral:rRNA from 1 species